rnacentral:lncRNA from 1 species
CCUUCCCCCACCCCACUCUUAAAGUGCCCCACGGUUAACUAAGUUUGGAAUCCUCUACACAUCAUUACAGUCUUCUGCAAGCCCCUGUUACAGCUUCAGUGUUUAGGAAAGCUGUUGGGAAGUUAUGCAGUGAUGAAAAAUCCACUUCCCACAAACAUUUGACCCCUGAACUUUUUUUUUUUUUUUUUUUUUUUACCUCUACAAGCCCCAUGUCAUCCCCUAACACAACUUCUCAUGGAACGUACUUUGGGCAAUGCUACUAGAAAAAGUACAAAUGAAGUUCUUACCUCCGGCUUCCCAUUUGAUGAAACAAGUCCUGUCCCAUAGGCUUCGAUGGCUCCACUCUGCUUGCAAAGAUCAAACUCUAAAGUAAACCAAUAGAGCUGAUCAAGGCACAAAAUGGAAAAAGAAUGGAGCGGUGACUGAAACCAAAUAUCUAAUCAACAGUGCCAAGGACUGGAAGAUCCCUCAAGAGGCUGAGAGGCAACCCAGUUCUUCCCCACUUCAACCCCAUCCCGAUCUUCAGGCAGGACAGAGAGCCUUCGUACUGCUCUCCUAAUGCAUCAUCCUCAGUCCCCUGGACCCCGCUUCUUUCAAAGUUCAAUUAUAUCUGAGGCUUAGUUCAAGGGUCCUCUUCUUCAAAUCUUCUCAUGACUCGGGGGCCCACUGAGCAUUUCCUUUCCUUCAGUUAGAUCACCCUUUCGUGUAUUCAUUAAAAGCACAUUGAACACUUACCAUAUGCAUGAUACAGUGCUGGGAAAUACAGAUCUGAAAUAGACAAAGAUCCUACCCCCCAGAGGAGCUCACAAUUUCUACCACUGGAAGAGGAAUGAAGAGAAGACAACGAAGGCUCAGUUCUAAGGAAGGCUUCAGCAGAUGAAGAUACAGUAAGUUGCGGGCACAUUGCCUUGUAGAACAUAUCCAACAGCAUUCUCACCAUGAUCACAUCAAGUUAUCAGAACACAGCCUGCCUCAGGUUAAGCACUCUAUGGAUG